GAUGAACGCUCGCGGCAGGCCUAAUACAUGCAAGUCGGACGGGAUUCAGGAGCUUGCUUCUGAUGAGAGUGGCGCACGGGUGCGUAACACGUAUGUAACCUACCUUUAUCAGGGGGAUAGCCUCUCGAAAGAGAGAUUAAGCCCGCAUAAAAUCACAGCACAGCAUUGUGUAAUGAUCAAAUAUUUAUAGGAUAAAGAUGGGCAUGCGGAACAUUAGCUAGAUGGCGGGGUAGCGGCCCACCAUGGCGACGAUGUUUAGGGGAUCUGAGAGGAUGGCCCCCCACACUGGGACUGAGACACGGACCAGACUCCUACGGGAGGCAGCAGUAAGGAAUAUUGGUCAAUGGGCGGAAGCCUGAACCAGCCAUGCCGCGUGCAGGAAGACGGCCCUACGGGUUGUAAACUGCUUUUAGACGGGAAUAAACCCAGAUACGUGUAUCUGGCUGAAUGUACUGUAAGAAUAAGGAUCGGCUAACUCCGUG
rnacentral:rRNA from 1 species